UCGAGGAUCUUCGGCAAUGGGCGCAAGCCUGACCGAGCGAUGCCGCGUGAGCGAUGAAGGCCUUCGGGUUGUAAAGCUCUUUAGUGGGGGAGAAAAGCCGAAAGGUGUGAUCUAUCCCAAAAAUAAGCUCGGGCUAAGUUCGUGCCAGCAGCCGCGGUAAGACGAACCGAGCGAACGUUAUUCGGAAUCACUGGGCUUAAAGGGUGCGUAGGCGGGCUGUCAAGUCUGGGGUGAAAUCCGGCAGCUUAACUGUCGAACUGCCUUAGAUACUGAUGGCCUCGAGGAAGGUAGGGGCAUGCGGAACUGUAGGUGGAGCGGUGAAAUGCGUUGAUAUCUACAGGAACUCCGGUGGCGAAAGCGGCGUGCUGGACCUUUUCUGACGCUGAGGCACGAAAGCUAGGGGAGCAAACGG
rnacentral:rRNA from 1 species